AUGGCGAUGCCGGGUCCGGGUAAUCUCCUCACGGUCGACCAAUCCGGCAAAGGCGAUUACAGGAAGAUCCACGAGGCGAUCGCCGCCGCCCCGGUGAACAGCUCCGCCCGCACUGUCAUCCUCAUCAAGCCCGGAGUCUACAAGGAGAAGAUCGUCGUCCCCGUGGACAAGCCCAACAUAACACUUUUCGGCACCAGCGCCAACACGACCGUCAUCACCUGGAACGAGCCCUGGCUCUCGACCGACACUUCCCCUACCGUGACCGUUCGGGCCUCCGACUUCGUCGCCAGCCGCUUAACGUUCCGGAACACGUUCGGGACCAGCAAGCAGGCCAUCGCGGUGAGAGUCGCCGGAGACAGGGCGGCGUUCUACGGGUGCAGCUUCUCGUCGUUCCAAGACACGCUCCUCGACGACAACGGGCGCCAUUACUACUGCGGGUGCUACAUCGAAGGUGGCACCGACUUCAUAUGCGGGAACGGCCGGGCUCUCUUUGAAAAAUGCCACCUGCACUCCACCUCGCUCACGGGCGGCGCCUUCACAGCGCAGAAGCGGGCGUCCGAGUCGAACUACACGGGAUACAGCUUCGUCCGGUGCAAGCUAACCGGCGUCGGGGUCAGCACCUCCAUCCUGGGGCGUCCAUGGGAGCCCUACUCCCGCGUCGUGUUCGCUCUCACCUACAUGUCCGCAACGGUGAGCCCUCGAGGCUGGAAUGACUGGAACCACACCGCCAACCAGAGGACGGCGUUCUACGGGCAGUACCAAUGCUACGGCCAAGGGGCGAAAACUGAUGGCAGGGUUAAGUGGGCUCGCAACCUCUCGCCAACCGAAGCAGCCCCCUUCAUGACCAAGGCCUGGAUCGAUGGACAGCAGUGGCUUCCGAAGCAGCCCGCUUCAUGA
rnacentral:rRNA from 1 species